rnacentral:lncRNA from 7 species
AAAAAGGAGAUGGGGAGAUAAAAAAAGCAAUGGGUGAUGCGUUAGGCUGUUCCUUAGGUGGUGGUAUAGCCUGGGCUGUGCUGGGGCCAAGAAUGCAGCAGAGGCCCUGGGUCCCAGGGUGAGACAUGAUACUAAGAUGCAAGGCCCAGCAGAAGACAACUCAAGCUUGGUGGUUCUCCAGUGAAAAAUAUGGAUACGAAGAUGAUCUCACAUCACUUGUGAUUUCUGGCAGAUUUGAUCAAUGCUUGGAGAGUUUGGGCUACUGAUUUAGCUUUUACCUUGGGAAAGUGAAAGAAGGUGCAGGUCUAAAUCACUGCACAAUUGCAUCUGCUGGAUUUCCUGCAAUGGCUCUGAGCUCCUUUGGAGUCCUGGUCUAGGCAGGCAAACAAGGGAAGCGGAGGCCUUUGUGAGCUCUCAUGACGAUGAGCAGAACAGCCAGGGCAUCCGCAUGCACAUGGCUGGUACUUCUCAGACCCUGCAGCCGAGUCCUGUUGCCCCUGCUGUGUUCUUGGAAGUCCCUUCUCUAAACCAGGAGGAGGGAAAGGUGCUCUCAGUGCUUCAGCUCCCAGGCUGCCUUUAGUGCAUGUAAUUAGUGAGGAACAAAGGAAAGUCAGUUUACGUCUUCUCCAUCGCUUCUUCCAUCUGUCCUUAUCUGCCCUUAUAUCGUGAGGGAGACUGAAGGUUGCUCUCAGGACCCAUCAACUCCAUGAAGCUGAGUCAUGUAUCGUACGCAGUGAGGCUGAGAAUCUUGAAGAAAAUGUCUGACUACUUGAAAUCAUUCCUUGUUCACUUCGUUAUCCAUAGUGUUGUUGCAAGUUGGAUCUGACGUGCUCCUUGAGCAGCUGUAGUCCCUGGUGGCGUGUUGCAGUAAUUUCUUUAUGUGUUCAGGAGGUGUUCCAGUGAAACUGAACCUCUGCAUCAUGCUCAAGAGGUAAAGCACAGGGACCUGGCUGUGCUAGGGGACAGUAUUGAGAGGCUGGCUCACAGGCCAGUGAGUGGGUGGGGAGCUGAGUGACCGCUAUUCAGGUUUCAUGAACUAAAGCUUGCUUGUGAGUGAGAGCUGUGUGAUCACUGAAUUAAAUCCCUUGGUGUCUGGAGUCUCCUGGCAAGAGCUCAGUAGGUCCUGGGCUGUGCAGCCUGGCUUGAGAGGGAGGAGGAAUGUUGGGGGGUUAUGAUGAGACUUGUAAGCAUCGCAGCCCUAUCCAUGGACAAUCUCACUUCACUUUGUGUAUUGUCGUUGUCCUUUCCAACAGCUGCAUCUUUCAAAACUGGAAGAUCAGUAUUUUUCUCUUCAUUUUGAGUUUUGAUAUUAUUUUUUUUCAUUUAAGGAGAAAUAAAAUCAAAAUAAGU